rnacentral:lncRNA from 1 species
UAGCUAAAAGUCCUAGCUUUCCACAAUUAUAUCAAGUACAUUCUUUUAUAGAUUUCUUUUUUCUAUAUGGUCUUUUAUGUUUAUAAUUUUUUAUAUAAUAUCUUUUCCUUGGUUUCUUAUAUUUAUAUUUUGAUUUUUUAUAUUUCUUAUAUUUCUUAUGUCUUUUCUUUUCUUAUAAUAUCUUUCUUCACAUCCAAAUUG